rnacentral:rRNA from 1 species
CAGUAGCCGCGGUAAGACAGAGGAUGCAAGCGUUAUCCGGAAUGAUUGGGCGUAAAGCGUCUGUAGGUGGCUUUUCAAGUCCGCCGUCAAAUCCCAGGGCUCAACCCUGGACAGGCGGUAGAAACUACCAAGCUGGAGUACGGUAGGGGCAGAGGGAAUUUCCGGUGGAGCGGUGAAAUGCGUAGAUAUGCGGAGGAACACCGAUGGCGAAGGCGGCCAUCUGGGACAACACUGACGCUGAGGCACGAAAGCGAGGGGAGCAAACAGGAUUAGAUACCCGGGUAGUCCCUGUCUCUUAUAC